rnacentral:rRNA from 1 species
AGAGAGGGUAAUAGGCCCGUAGACGAAAGGAUGAAAUAGAGACGACUACCAGAGUACCGCAGGACACGAGAAAUCCAGCGGGAAGCCGGGGGGACCACCCUCCAAGCCUAAAUACGGUUGGUGACCGAUAGCGCAUAGUACCGUGAGGGAAAGGUGAAAAGAACCCCGGGAGGGGAGUGAAAGAGAACCUGAAACCCUGUGUUUACAAGCAGAGAAAGCACGGUUUAAAGUGCGAUCUCGUACCUUUUGUAGAAUGGACCGGCGAGUUACGUUAUGCAGCGAGGUUAAGGACUACAGGUCUGGAGCCGAAGUGAAAGCGAGCAUGAAUAGUGCGACAAGUUGCAUGACGUAGACCCGAAACCAGGUGACCUAUCCAUGGGCAGGUUGAAGUGGUGGUAGAACACCAUGGAGGACCGAACCAGACGUCUGUUGAAAAAGGCGGGGAUGACCUGUGGAUAGCGGAGAAAUUCCAAUCGAACUUGGAUAUAGCUGGUUCUCCUCGAAAUAGCUUUAGGGCUAGCCUCGUGUUAGUGAAUAGGAGGUAGAGCACUGAAUGAGCUAGGGGGCCACAAAGCUUACCGAACUCUAUCAAACUUCGAAUGCCUGUUAAACGAUGCACGGGAGUCAGACUGCGAGUUAUAAGAUCCGUAGUCAAAAGGGAAACAGCCCAGAUCGACAGCUAAGGCCCCUAAGUGAUGGUUAAGUGGAAAAGGAUGUGGAAUUGCACAGACAACCAGGAUGUUGGCUCAGAAGCAGCCAUUCAUUUAAAGAGUGCGUAAUAGCUCACUGGUCGAGUGAUUGUGCGCCGAAGAUUCAACGGGGCUAAAACCAUCCGCCGAAGCUUCGGGAUCAUCGAAAGAUGAUCGGUAGAGGAGCAUUGUAUAAGCGCGGAAGCUGGAGCGAAAGCACCAGUGGAGUUUAUAGAAGAGAGAAUGCCGGUAUGAGUAACGAGAUGUAAGCGAGAAACUUACACGUCGAAAGCCCAAGGAUUCCUGGGGAAGGUUCAUCCGCCCAGGGUAAGUCGGGGCCUAAGCCGAGGACGAUAGUCGUAGGCGAUGGAAAACAGGUUGAGAUUCCUGUACCGCCCAUAUGAGUGAUGCAUUGACACAGAAGGAUAGCAUGAGCCGGUUGAUGGUAGAGCCGGUCGAAGAGCGUAGGCUGCUUGGUAGUGAAGUACGCCAGGCGUAAGGCUGAAACUUGAUAGGGAGCGAAAAUAAGUAGCGAAGCAUGCGAAUCCCCGCUGGCGAGAAAAGAUGCUGGCAAUGAUAUGGGCGCCCGUACCGCAAACCGACGCAGGUGGGCGAGGAGAGAAUCCUGAGACGGACGGGAGAACUCUUGUUAAGGAACUCGGCAAAAUGACCCCGUAACUUCGGGAGAAGGGGUGCCUCGAAAGAGGCCGCAGAGAAUAGGCCCAAGCGACUGUUUAGCAAAAACACAGGUGUUUGCGAAAGCGAGAGCUGACGUAUAAGCGCUGACGCCUGCCCGGUGCUGGAAGGUUAAGAGGAGCUGUCAGGCAACGAAGCAGCGAAUUGAAGCCCCAGUAAACGGCGGCCGUAACUAUAACGGUCCUAAGGUAGCGAAAUUCCUUGUCGGGUAAGUUCCGACCCGCACGAAUGGCGUAACGACUUGGGCGCUGUCUCAACAGGGGACCCGGUGAAAUUGAAGUAUGGGUGAAGAUGCCCAUUACCCGCGACUGGACGGAAAGACCCCGUAGAGCUUUACUGUAGCUUAUCAUUGGAUUUCGAUAACGAAUGUACAGGAUAGGUGGGAGGCUAAGAAGCGUUGACGUCAGUUGACGUGGAGCCGACGUUGGGAUACC